UACAGAGACUGCAAGCGUUGUCCGGAAUUAUUGGGCGUAAAGGGUGCGUAGGCGGCCUGACAAGUCUGAUGUGAAAUCCCUGGGCUCAACCCAGGGCCUGCAUCGGAAACUGUCGGGCUUGAGUAUGGGAGAGGUGAGUGGAAUUUCCGGUGUAGCGGUGAAAUGCGUAGAUAUCGGAAGGAACACCUGUGGCGAAAGCGGCUCACUGGACCAUUACUGACGCUGAGGCACGAAAGCUAGGGGAGCAAACAGG
rnacentral:rRNA from 1 species